GGUUCCGUAGUGUAGUGGUCAUCACGUUCGCUUCACACGCGAAAGGUCCCCGGUUCGAUUCCCGGGCGGAACCA
rnacentral:tRNA from 1 species